UACGUAGGGGGCAAGCGUUGUCCGGAAUCAUUGGGCGUAAAGCGCGUGUAGGCGGUUCGGUAAGUCUGCUGUGAAAGUCCAGGGCUCAACCCUGGGAUGCCGGUGGAUACUGUCGGACUAGAGUACGGAAGAGGCGAGUGGAAUUCCCGGUGUAGCGGUGAAAUGCGUAGAUAUCGUAAGGAAGACCAGUGGCGAAGGCGGGUCUCUGGACAGUUCCUGACGCUGAGGCACGAAGGUCAGGGGAGCAAACGGG
rnacentral:rRNA from 1 species